GAUCAGUCGGCUACAGAACGAACGCUGGCGGCAUGCCUAACACAUGCAAGUCGAACGAAGGCUUCGGCCUUAGUGGCGCACGGGUGCGUAACGCGUGGGAACCUGCCCCUCGGUUCGGAAUAACAGUUAGAAAUGACUGCUAAUACCGGAUGAUGACUUCGGUCCAAAGAUUUAUCGCCGAGGGAUGGGCCCGCGUAGGAUUAGCUAGUUGGUGGGGUAAAGGCCUACCAAGGCGACGAUCCUUAGCUGGUCUGAGAGGAUGAUCAGCCACACUGGGACUGAGACACGGCCCAGACUCCUACGGGAGGCAGCAGUGGGGAAUAUUGGACAAUGGGCGAAAGCCUGAUCCAGCAAUGCCGCGUGAGUGAUGAAGGCCUUAGGGUUGUAAAGCUCUUUUACCAGGGAUGAUAAUGACAGUACCUGGAGAAUAAGCUCCGGCUAACUCCGUG
rnacentral:rRNA from 1 species